UAACAUCCUCGCUUCUCCUUAGCGGUCAC
rnacentral:piRNA from 1 species